AUGUCUGUGUCGGGCCCAGCCCCAUGUCUGCAUUCAGCUCGGCCCCACAUUUGUGCUGUGCCCGGCCCCACAUCUGUGCUAUGCCUGGCCCCAUAUCUGCACUCUGCUCAGCCCCACAUCUGUGCUGUGCCUGGCCCCACAUUUGCCUCUGGGCCCGCAAUGCUACAACGCAACAACGCAACAACGCAACAACGCGACAACACAACAACGCAACAACGCGACAACACAACAACGCAACAACGCGACAACACAACAACGCAACAACGCGACAACGCAACAACGCAACAACGCAACAACGCAACAACGCAACAACGCGACAACGCGACAACGCGACAACGCGACAACGCGACAACGCGACAACGCGACAACGCAACAACGCGACAACGCAACAACGCAACGCAACAACACAACAACGCAACAACGCAACAACGCGACAACGCAACAACACAACGCAACAACACAACAACGCAACAACGCGACAACGCGACAACGCGACAACACAACAACGCGACAACGCGACAACGCGACAACGCGACAACGCGACAACGCGACAACGCGACAACGCGACAACGCAACAACGCAACAAUGCAACAACGCAACAACGCAACAACGCAACAACGCAACAACACAGCGCGACACAACAACACAACGCAGCACGACACAGUGCAACAACGCAGCACGACACACCACAAUGCCACAACGCAACACAACGAUGCAACACAACAACACAACACCACAACGCAACAACACAACGCAGCACAACAGCACAAUACAAUGCAACACCACAACGCAACACAACAACACAACACAGCACAACGCAACACAACAACACAACAAUGCAACAACAGAACGCAACAACACAACGCAACGCAACAACACCACAACGCAACACAACACAGCAAUGCAACAACACAACACCGCACAACAACACAACGCAAUGCAACAGCACAACGCAACACAACACAACACCACAACAACACAACACAGCAACACAACGCAACACAGCAACAUAACGCAACACAACAAUGCAACAACACAACACAGCACAACACAGCACAACAACACAACGCAAUGCAACAGCACAACGCAACAGCACAACGCAACAACGCAACACAACUACACAACACAACGCAACACAACCACAGAACGCAACACCACAACACCACAACACAGCACAACAAAACACAACACCACAACACAACCACACAACACAAUACCACACCACCGCAACACACCACCGCAACACAACAACGCAACACAACACCACAACACAACACAACAACACAACACAACACCACCACGCAACGCAACACCACAACGCAACACAACACAACAACGCAACAACACAAUGCAACAACACAACACAACAAUGCAACGCAACACAACACCACAACACCACAACACAGCACAACACAACACAACACCGCAACACAACAAUGCAACACAACACCGCAACACAACAACACCACGCAACGCAACACCACAACGCAACACCACACAACAACGCAACAGCACAAU
rnacentral:lncRNA from 1 species